rnacentral:lncRNA from 1 species
UAUAAUAUCCCGCCCAAAAUGGACUGAUUGGAUUUUGGGUAGAUUGGGCCGAAGCCGGCAAGCCCCACCGGCUUUAGCCCAUGGUCGAAAUGAGACCGAGACAGGGGAUCUCGAUCACGAUACACUAGUAUUCUUCCUCGGGGUAACGGAGGCGUUAUGAGAGUGGAGACGCCGCGGAUCUCGCACAACCGCCACCAGCAUUGCGGCGGUGAGCGAGCCACGAUCACCACCACGUUUCCAUUUCUUCCUUCUUCUCGAAGAGGGCUAUAAAAAGCCCACAGAUCACUUACAUAGGGACUCCAUCGCUCUCUCCUCCUUCGGUGCAAAGGAACUGGACCGGGAGCGACGCCAUUGGAGUAGGAGGUCUCGAGCAGCCGGAGGAGCAACCGAACUACCAGAAGAGGCUUCUCGGCUCCUCCUCGGAGCUAGGUAGACCCUUAACCUCUCUCUCCCUUCAUAAAUUACGCCCUGUUAAGCUUAGAUCUAGUCAAGCUAUGAGAAAAUAAUAAUAAUAAUAAAUAAAUAAUAAAAAUAAAGAAAGAGAGAUGAAGAGGGGGAGGUCGGCCCGCGGCCGCCGUAGGCGCAGCCAGCGCCCCGGCCUCAGGUCAGCCCUCUCCCGAGCCCCGAUAAGGGGUUGUCCCUUGCUCUAAUCAUGGGAGAAGAAGGGAAGGGAAAAGAGAGGGAAAAGGAGAAGAGAAGAACAAAAGGAAGAAAAGAAGGGAAGAAGAAGGAGGAGGAGGGAAAAGCCACUUAGCGGUGGAUCUUUGACUGCAGUGCCGCCGGCCUUGAGGUCGGCCCCUCCCGAGAACUCCAUCGCCCUCCCUUGAUUGCGGGAGAAGAUGGGGAAGGGAAAGCUUCGGGAAGGAGAUGAAAAGAAGAGAAGAAGAAUAAGGGAGAAGAGAAGAGGAGGAGAAGAAAAAGAAAGAACAGAGAAGGAGAA